CCCAUGAUCAAUCCCUCAUGCACAAACACAAAUUUUAGAUCUUAAAAUUAAAUUUUAGAUCUAAAUUCUUUGAAUAAAAAUUAAUUUUUGAUUUUAAAACUAAUUUUAGAUCUCAACAUACAAUCAUAUGUCAUAUAUAUGAAUUAAAAUUCUGGUUUUGAUCUAAAUUUCAUAUUUUGACAUGCCAUCAUAUAUCUCAUACAUGAAUUAAAUUCAGAUCUAAUUAAACUCCAGAUCUUGACAUGCCAUCAUAUAUCUCAUAC
rnacentral:lncRNA from 1 species